UACGUAGGGAGCGAGCGUUGCCCGGAUUCAUUGGGCGUAAAGAGCUCGUAGGCGGCUUGGUAAGUCGGAUGUGAAACCUCCAGGCUCAACCUGGAGUCGCCAUCCGAUACUGCCAUGGCUAGAGUCCGGUAGGGGCCCACGGAAUUCCUGGUGUAGCGGUGAAAUGCGCAGAUAUCAGGAGGAACACCGGUGGCGAAGGCGGAUCUCUGGGCCAUUACUGACGCUGAGGAGCGAAAGCGUGGGGAGCGAACAGG
rnacentral:rRNA from 1 species